CCUGACUGCUGUCGGAUUGAUGCUAAGCCAUGCGAGUCAUUGUAGCAAUACAAGGCAGACGGCUCAGUAACGCGUAGUCAACCUAACCUAUGGACGGGAAUAACCUCGGGAAACUGAGAAUAAUGCCCGAUAGAACACUAUGCCUGGAAUGGUUUGUGCCCCAAAUGAUUUAUCGCCGUAGGAUGGGACUGCGGCCUAUCAGUUUGUUGGUGAGGUAAUGGCCCACCAAGACUAUUACAGGUACGGGCUCUGAGAGGAGUGGCCCGGAGAUGGGUACAGAGACACGGACCCAGGCCCUAUGGGGCGCAGCAGGCGAGAAAACUUUGCAAUGUGCGAAAGCACGACAAGGUUAAUCCGAGUGGUUUCUGCUAAAGGAACCUUUUGUCGGUCCUAGAAACACCGAUGAAUAAGGGGUGGGCAAGUUCUGGUGUCAGCCGCCGCGGUAAAACCAGCACCUCAAGUGGUCAGGAUGAUUAUUGGGCCUAAAGCAUCCGUAGCCGGCUCUGUAAGUUUUCGGUUAAAUCUGUACGCUCAACGUACAGGCUGCCGGGAAUACUGCAGAGCUAGGGAGUGGGAGAGGUAGACGGUACUCGGUAGGAAGGGGUAAAAUCCUUUGAUCUAUUGAUGACCACCUGUGGCGAAGGCGGUCUACCAGAACACGUCCGACGGUGAGGGAUGAAAGCUGGGGGAGCAAACCGG
rnacentral:rRNA from 1 species